GGAAUAUAAGAAUCUGUCUCUUAAUUUUUAACUAAAGAAACUAAGAACCGACUCUUAAAUAUCUUAUUCAUGAGCCGGUUUUUAGCUUUUUUAGUUAAAAUUAAGAGAUGGUUUCUUAUAUUCC
rfam:Brassica oleracea var. oleracea cultivar TO1000 chromosome C3, whole genome shotgun sequence